GAGAAUUCAAUCAUAACGAAGAGAGUAAUGAUAUAAAUGAAUUAAUACAUCAUAAAUUCAAAAACCCAUAGCAAUAGAGAGUAUACUACAAGGUUUUCAUAACCCUAACAAAUAAACUUAGCUACUCAUGAAUAAAAUGGAAAUCACAAUAGAAAUAUUCAUCAUACCAAAACAUAGAACGAUCUUGGUGGAGAAGAUGAAUAGCGAAAAUAAGAGAGAAAAACAUUUCUCUCCCUUUCUCCUCAAGCUAAGCCGCUUUUUCUCUUUUUUGAAAUAAUACAGAAUAAUGAAUCCCUAAAAAUUCAGCCAUAAGGCUUUUAAUAACAUCCUUCUCUAAUAAAUUGCUACUGCAUCCUUAACUAUUUAAAAAUAUUGAGUUUGCCCGGGAAAAAGUUCCCAUAUAUCACAUUUAGUUCAAAAGCUGCCUUCCUUUUAUGUGAAGUUUCCUUUGCUAUCCACAAGUCGCCAAAUUGUCGUAAUCUUCCUCAUUAGUACCUGAAAAGCAUGCUAAUCAUAAAGGUCAGCUCACUUAACUAAAAAUAGACAAAGUGCAAGAAUUAUGUAUUUUAUCCUCAAAACUUAGCUAAAACAUGGGUAAGUUAUAGAUUCUCGACCAAACAAUUACAUGAAUUCAAUUAAAAUCAACAAUCAAUACAAGAGUCACAACUAGAGCCUAGGUGUUUCAAAAUGUAAUGAUCUAUCACAUACUUAGGUUAUAAUGUCAUGUGACCCACAACAAUAGUUACAUGCAAUUAAAUGACUAAUUUUCUCUUAAGACGGUCGUCAUCCAUCCAUCAUCGAGAAAAACACCUAAUUAUGACUAAAUAACUAACAAAAUGAAAUAAACAAAAUAACUAAUCCUAUCAAGAAGUAUACUAAGGAGAAGGUCCUCUUUUCUUACAAAACAAGUAGAAAAGUAACCAGCCACCCCACACUUAUGCUCAGCACUGUCCCCAGUGUAAAUAACAAGAUAAAAAACUGGCUAGUAGUACUUCUCAUCCACAUUAGGAGUCAUGCCACCUGCAUGGAGAUCAUCAUUGGAGCAAAUAACAAAGUUAUUUGGUACUAUUUUUCUUACAAAACAAGUAGCAAAGUAACCAGCCAGUGGGCAUAAGCAAUGACAUAGGCGGUGCCUAAGCUAUAGCCUAUGUUGACAUAGGCGGCGCCUAACCUAUUGCCUAAGUUGACAUAGGCGGCACCUAAACUAUUGCGUAAGUUGACAUAGGCGGCGCCUAACCUAUCGCCUAAGUUGACAUAGGAGGUGCCUAACCUAUCAUCUAAGUGUGGCAGUGAGCAUAGGCAAUGGUAGAAACGGCGCCUAACCUAUCGCCUAUGAUGACAUAGGUGGCGCCGAACCUAUCGCCCAAGUAAGGCAGUGAGCAUCGACGAUUGGAAAUGCGGUGCACUCUUGGUCGGAAAGGUCCAUACCACAGGGGCGCCCGAUCCCUACGCUACCACCACAGACCUAAUUGAAAGUCACAAAAUAAAAUUGCACCGCAAAACUUUUUGGGUCGAAUUAACAUAAUUCGAGGCGCGACUCUAAUGCGAAUCAACUUGAGCGUUACACAUUUGACCAAUCCAACUUACCUGUAAUGUUCCCAUCACUCCUAAACUUACCACCAUUGACAUGGAUCACUUCCAAAUCAAAAUUGGUGCUAAUAUCCUCCUUAGCACUUCAUGCACCUACACUUAAUCAAAAACAACAAAAAUGAUUAGAAAGAUGGGUUGCCUCCCACCAAGCACCGUAGUUUCGGUCGUGGCUCGACUCUUCUUUUUGUAUUUUUGUUUAACAUGAUAAAGUAAAAAAAAUCAUGGGUUGCCUACCAUGUAGCGCCUGAUUUAACAUCGCGGCACGACUCGAUUAUCUUGACUACUCAGACUUCGUCAAGAUACAUCGAUGAUACCAUUUGUACCUCAUUUUUUGGAUCAAGACAAUGCUUUAUUCUUAGUCCAACCACUUUGAAGUUACUCACAUCCUUUUUUGCAAGUUCAAAAAAACCAGCUAUGGUCUUCACAAAAGACAUAUCCUUAACUGGUACAUCUCACUUAUCUUCAUAGAAUACAUCAACAAUCGAGAAGACACUCAUUUCCUUUUGUUGUUUCAUAGACCGACAUACUUCAAAGCUAACUUCUUUCUCAUUAAGCCUAAAUUUUAGCUCAUUUAGCUCCAUGUCAACUAACACCCUUCCAGUUUCUAAGAAUGGACUACCAAAAAUUAUGGGUACUUCAAAUUCCACUUUGUAAUCAAGAAUAACAAAAUCGGCAGGAAAUAUAAAAUCAACUUUUACAAGUACAUUAUGUAGAAUCCCAAUCGGCCUUUUUACUGAUCUAUCUGCCAUUAGAAGCUGCAUAUUAGUGGGCGUAGGAUCUCCUAAACCCAAUUUCUUGAAAACCGUCAAUGGCAUAAGAUUGAUACUUGUCCCAAGAUCACAAAGAGCCUUUUCAAACUUUAGUAAUCCAAUCAUACAUGGAAUAGUAAAUGCUCCCAGAUCAGCUUUCUUCUGGACAAUAGAUCUUGUAGCAAUAGCAUUAAAAUGAUGAAGAUUGUAUACCAUUUCAUAGCUCACUAUCCUUUUGUUUGUCAACAGGUCUUUCAUAAACUUAGCAUAUCCGGGCAUCUAUUCUAGUGCUUCAACUAAGGGCAAAUUCACUGUCAACUGCUUAAACAUAGCCAUGAAUUUGCUAAACUUGCCAUCAUCUUCUUUCUUCUUUAAUCAUUUUGGAAAUGGAGGUGGCGGCCUUGGCAUUUUAGUUGGAGCAACUUUUACCUCCUUUCUUAUGCCUUGCUCUACAUCACUAACAUGCUUCGUCUUCGUUGGUUGUUCAACUUCCGCACUCUUCUUUUUCUAACCUCCCAACUCCACAGGCACCACUGGAGAUUCAUCAACUAUUUUCCAAUCCAUUUCAAGCUCAUCAGUAUAAGAGGAAGCUCCCAAACCUGGACAAGAUAACAUCUUACCGCUCCUAGUGGUAAUGGCCAUGCACGAUCUAUCAGUCCUCGAAUUCUGAACUGUAUCCCUUGGUAGAGUCCCAUUCUUUCUUUGGUUGAAUGCUGUGGAUAAUUGGCUCAUCUGCUGCUCCAAUUGUUUAAUAGCAACUGAGUACAAAUUUACAAGUUGACUUAUGGAAGAUACGACACUCUUUAUUGUAGUCACCCCAGAAUUUGCCGCCUCAAAUCCCUUUAAUACUUUCUCCAUCAUGUUCUUCAUCGACAUUUUGCCUGAACUGGUGGCAGCAUUAUCAUCGAUUCCAGGAGGUACAUACAGUCCAGUCCUGUCACUUUUAUUCUUCCAAUCUCCUUGAUGGUUCCAACCUUGGUUUCUUUGGCCACCACUUCGGAAACCCAUCUUAUUAUUCAAGUAAUUGGCUUCUUCCUCUGGAUUGGAGUCAGCCCUUCCAUGUGAUGCUACAGCUUUAACCUUCUCUGUCUUUCCUAAUAAUAAAUGCUUAGUGGGAAGGUUUAUCUAUGUUUUCAUGUGAGCCAUAUCCUGGACAUGCUCUUCUUCUCUUUGCCUCUGUUCUGCAGUCAUGCCAAUCGAUACAGUAGAGCUUGAUACCUCAGAAUCCCUAGCAUGCCAAGCUCUACUCUGCUUUGUCAUACGAUCUAACAUGUUAUAUGCCUUAAGAAAAGUAAGGUCCAUGAAUGACCCACCCGCAACAUUAUCUACCACUGGCUUAGUCACCAAAUUCAAAGCCCUAUAUAAUAUAUCCAUCAAGUGGACAUUGGUCAUCUGAUGAUUUGGGCACCAUAUCAGCUUCUUCUUGAACCUCUCCCAAGUCUCAUGGAGAGCUUCAGUUGGAAGCUAUCUAAAAUUGCUUAUCUCAUCUCUUAAUUGUGCUCUCUUGGAUGAUGGAAAAAUCUUUCUAGGAAAGCGUCUUUCAGUUGCCUCCAAUUGGUAAUAGAGUUGGGAUUUAGCCCAUUUAACCAUAGAGUUGCCUCUCCAGAUAGAGAAAAUGGAAAUAAAUGCAGCCAGAUUGCAUUCUGUCCAAUCCCUGGAUUGUCAAACGAUUUGCAUAUUGAGAUAAAAUUAAUCAGAUGCAUAUUCGAAUUAUCGCCUACAAGUCUACCAAAUAACCCUUUGAGUUGCAGUAGUUGGAUCAUAGUGCUAGUAAUAUUGAACUUGGCUUCGGGUGCCAAAGGCGGAGGAAUAAUAGCCCCUGUGGCACCAGCCCCAUCCAAGUCGUCAUCAUUAUUCUUAAAAGCAACUUGCACAGCUCGGCGUUUGGGUCUUAUCCUAGCUUGACGAUCUCUGUUGAUAUUUAUGUUCACUGGUGCAGCCACAUCAUCUGCAUGCCUUGUCUUUAAUAACUCAUCAUCACCCAGGUCCUCAUCAUCAAGAUUUGGUACCCGACUUGGGUUAUCAGCAUUCUGUUGAUUUACUUGCGCAGCUGCCAAUGUAGCUAAUCUAGCCUUCUCCUGUUGAGCAGCUAUUCUUUCAGGGUCUAGUUGCGCAUCCAUUCUGCCAAUGAGAUGUCGUUCAGGAUUUAUAGGUAAUAAUGGGUGGCCCAAUCUCCGCGUAUUUGGCAUGCAAUACACUCAACCUGAUCAAAACAAAAACAACAAACAAAAAGUAAAAUUUUGGAAAUCUUUGACCAAAAGGUCGACUAACAAACACAACUUAGUCGACAACCAUAUUCCCCAGCAACGGUGCCAAAAUUUGAUACGCCCAAAUUACACCUCUCUUAUGAGAGAGUAAGUGGUCGCUGUCAAAUAUAGAACCCAACCAGGUUGGGUGUCGAAUCCCAUAGGGAAUACUGUGUUACUAAGUAUUGUAGUUAUUACUGGACUGUUAGUCAGAGGUUCCUGAAUGGGGGGUUUUGGUUUAAAUGUGAAAUGAUAGUUACAAUACAACAAUGAAGCAAUAUGUGUAUUAAUAUUUGAUCACAGAGAAUGACAAGUUAGGGUUAUGUCCACCUUGUAGCUUUUACUUCUCUAUUNNNNNNNNNNNNNNNNNNNNNNNNNNNNNNNNNNNNNNNNNNNNNNNNNNNNNNNNNNNNNNNNNNNNNNNNNNNNNNNNNNNNNNNNNNNNNNNNNNNNNNNNNNNNNNNNNNNNNNNNNNNNNNNNNNNNNNNNNNNNNNNNNNNNNNNNNNNNNNNNNNNNNNNNNNNNNNNNNNNNNNNNNNNNNNNNNNNNNNNNNNNNNNNNNNNNNNNNNNNNNNNNNNNNNNNNNNNNNNNNNNUACUCAUGAAUAAAAUGGAAAUCACAAUAGAAAUACUCAUCAUACCAAAACUUAGAACGAUCUUGGUGGAGAAGAUGAAUAGUGAAAAUAAGAGAGAAAAACAUUUCUCUCCCUUUCUCCUCAAGCUAAGCCGCUUUUUCUCUUUUUUGAAAUAUACAAAAUAAUGAUUCCCUAAAAAUUCAGCCAUAAGGCUUUUAAUAACAUCCUUCUCUAAUAAAUUGCUACUGCAUCCUUAACUAUUUUAAAAUAUUAAGUUUGCCCGCCAAAUUGUCAUAAUCUUCCUCAUUAGUACCUGAAAAGCAUGCUAAUCACAUAGGUCAGCUCUCUUAACUAAAAAUAGACAAAGUGCAAGAAUUAUGUAUUUUAUCCUCAAAACUUAGCUAAAACAUGGGUAAGUUAUGGUGCUUAGACGUAUAAAUACACCCAACAUCAAGUAUGCACCCAUAUCUAUUAGCCUAUAAUUAGGGGGAGGGGCAGGAGUGGCAUUAUUAUGUAUGAUUCUGGCCUCUUUUAUCUUACAAUUAUAUUACUAUGCAUGACCAUCUGAUGACUUGAUAUAUAGAUUAAAACACUGAAUAUUCUAGAACUAGCUCCUUUAUGAUCAUGAGGUCUUAAAUAGCUAGUCUGAUGACAUAGGAUGUAUUUCGAGUAGCUUGGUUAUAUACUUAUAUAUAUAUAUAUAUAUGAAUAGUUAGCUAUAUGUAUCAUGGUAUUUUUGUAUAUCCCUUUUUUCCUUUAUUUACUCAGAUUAUAUACUUAUUACUUGGCCUUGUAUACAUAUAUUUAUCUUCUUUCUGCUUUUACUUGCAUAUUAUCCAGUGAUAUACAGUAUAGUGUUCAGAUUCCUAAGAAUGACUGGAAUGAGAUAGUGCAUUCUUAGAACUUUCUUAGCUUUAAUAUGUUAGUUUCUUGGACAUGAAUAGGAUAGUUUAUCCUUAUUAUCUCAUUAACUGUCCUAUAUGGUUGCUGGACAUGCUGUUGAUGUGUGCGUUGUGUAGAGCAACCAUGGUUCAGAUACUUAGAGUGAGCUCUUGACAUUCAAAAUGUUACUUAUCUCUCUCUUAUGUACUAGACUAGUCUCUAUGUUGUAUUUGGAGAUAAGUUGUAUCAGUGUAUUCAUUUGUAUUUCACUUUGAAAUCUUGUUAUGUAGAAGCUUUUGUACUGAUACCACCAGGUUUUGGUACUACAUUAUGUAUUUGAUCUCUUAUUUCAUCUAUUUUGUAUUCUUGCCUUGAUCUAGUUGGGUAGUCCAUUAAUAGCCUUGAAAUUCUUUUGAUGGACUCCCAAAUGUGCAUGUCUAUGCUCAUCUUUUGUAAGAGAUUACUUAUCCUCUUCUACAUAGGUAAUACUUCCCAUAGACAAUCUGCUAAGAGAAUCAACAACUACAUUUGCCUUACUCGGAUUAUACAACACACUCAUAUCAUAAUCCUUGAGAAGCUUAAGCCAUCUCCUCAGUUGAAAAUUCUACUCUUUAUUAGUGUAAACAUACUACAUGCUCUUAUAAUCCAUAAAACCAUCAACAUACACUCUAUAGAGAUAAUGGUGCUAUAUUUUUUAAGCAAACACUACAAUUGCUAACUCAAUAUCCUGAGUCAAAUAGUUCUUAUAAACCUUAAGUUAUGUAGGAGCACAAAAAAUAAUCUUGCCAUUAUACAUCAAAACAUAACUAAGACCAACUCUGGACAUAUCAUAAUACAACAUAAAAUGAUCUAUACCCUUUGGUAGGGUCAAAACUAGAGCAGAAGUAACCCAAGCCUUUAACUCCUGAAAGUUUUUCUCAUAAGCCUUAGACCACUAAAAUUUGACCUUUUUUAGAGUCAUCCUAGUCAAUGGGGGCUGAAAUGGACCAAAAAACCUACAUGAACCUUCUGUAAUAUCCAGGUAAAACUAAGAAACUCAUGAUAUCUAAUGAAGUUAUUGUUCUAGGUCAAUUUUUGAUUGUAUCAAUCUUCUCUGAGUCAACCUGUAUCUCCUCACUUGAAAUGACAUGACCAAGGAAGAAACUUGCCUCAACCAAAACAUUCUGUAGUCUCCUCGUUGCAAGUGUAACGAGCUUCACACCCACAAAAACGACUCUACUAAAUGCGACUUUUUCAUACAUCCUAAGACUCUUGAACCUAUUAUUUGUAUAAAGUUGGUGAUGACUCGAGUCUAUACCUUGGAUACGACAAGGCACUUUAAGCCACUAAUAUCACCACGUGGUCCAUUACCAUAGCAUAUCUAAGCAUAAUAUGAGAAAAAAAUGGAAUUUGUAAACUAAAUCGAUAACUAAAAUAGAAUUCAAGAUAAGAUUAUUACAACUAACUAUUAAUUUCUGAAAGCCUCUAAAACUGAGUAAAGAAUAUGUCGAGACAAGGCCUCAGCUACUCAUAAAACCAAGUUUGAAAUGAAUAAAAAGAACAACUAAACUAUGUCCCAAAAUAAGGAGGACUCACUAACUGCUGAACUAUGAACUACUAAUAACUAGCCACAGCCUGAGAAUGAUCGUCCAUAUCUACAUCAAUGAAAAUGUAGCACAAAAACUGUGUGUGGUCGGUACAAGGAUGGCUCUAUGUAUGUAAGAGACAAAGCUAAAUAACUACAAUCAUAACUAUAUUAUAAUUUAAGAAGUAGACUAAGAUGUGUCUUUUGUAGAUUAAAGUAUCAACUGAGAGUAAAAGUAGUUAAAGACUAUAAAUAAGGAUUUUUAAAAAUAAUGCAUAUUUGAAAUUACACUAUUUGAAAUGAUAUAGUGAUGAUAUCAGCUAAUUACUAAAAAUGAGUUAAGUUUUUAUGUGGAGUUUCUUAUAACUAAUAAACAUCACCUGAGCUAGUGAUGCCUAAUGUCAUACACCAUUGUUCUAACCAGCCAAGAUGUAGAACCAUAAUAUAAGGAUCCUGAAAUUAUGCGUCAAAUGAGACAAAACUAUUGUGGCUACAUAGUUAUGGAACUUGGGUUUUCUAAAUCCCUGUUCUCUUGGUGCUUAACAAUCUUCUCAAAACAGUUCAUAUAAUAUAAUGCUCAUGAUAUAUUGAUAUCAUAUCUAUUUGUAUGUAAAACUUGAAUCUUUAGAAUAAUUCAUAUUUCAAAGAUAUCAUGGAAUUCACCAUUCUUUGAAUUUUUCUAUUUUCUUGAAAGUUCAUAAUAUCAUAAAGAAUCAAGAAAUAAUACUUUGAAAUAUAAGCUUGAGGAAAAUAUUCGAAAUCAUGUCAAGAAUCAAAAUAGCAAUAAAACAUCCUUUCUAAUUUUAGAAGUGAAUUCAUCAUAAACAAAACACAUAAUAAUAGAUAAAGACUUCCACAAAAUCAUAUAAUUUACUAAAUAAAAAGAAAAUUUGAAAGUGGAUUUACAAACUCUAUAGAUGAUCUUUAAUUAAAGAAAACCAUAAAGUUUUAAACACGAAUAUAAAAAGUAAAUCCUCAUUGAAGUCUUACAUACCUUCAAUUUUUUCUCAAUGAAUCAAGAAGGAACCCUAACUUGAGGAAGAAGCUCGACGAAUUUAGUUCUUAUUAAAUUGAUUAAGAUUUUCUUGAAAACCCUAAGACCAUGAUUUAGAAUUCGUUAAGAAUUUGUUUUUGGAUGUUAUAAUUUCUUGAAAACUCUUAAAAUUAUAUGGAAGGGACUUAUCUUGGAUAUGAAGGAUAAGCAGAAGGGAAAAACCAAUUUAAGGUUGAUGGGAAUGAAAAUAAAGUGGAAAAAAUCUGAGAAAAUGAUUUUUAAUGACUUUCAUUGGCCUAACCACAUCCAAAAUGUAGCCAACACUUGGUGAAACAUGACCAAUAUCACCACUUGUUCCAAGCCAUAAUACCUAGAAAUUUGGGCUGAAAUGCAUUUCGCUCCUUGCGAAACACGACCAUCAUUUUGCUAUGGUCCACUACAAUUCUCUUAUUGUUGUAAAAUGACCAUAAAUUUGUAAUUUUAUAUGUAUCGGGUCUUUUAAUUCUUUAUAUUCUAGGAGUAUUUGUUUUUUGAAGUUUAUCCUUUUAAAAUCUCAUAUGGAAACUCAAUUAGUAAAGAAGCCUUCAACUCACCUUUGUGCUAGAGGUUCCUUAUGGCCUUAAUUUAUAUUAAAAAGUAUUAACACAUUAAAGAAUUGAUCUUACCACCUAUUUAUAAUUAUAAAUCAUCGAAUUAGGGUCUAUACAUUAAGAACAAUUUGGAUUUUAGUUCAUAUUUUAAGGUGUUACAAAUAAUCACUUGCAUCGAGUUCUUCCAGAAUAUGAAUUGUUCACAAAUUCAUAAUUUCCUUAUAGGUUACAUGACUUAUUAGGAUUCUAAAGCUUUUUCUUGGUAGAUUCUUAAUAUGAGACUCUAAUAGGGGUGGUAUUAACAUCUUCAAGGUUCAUUCCCCCAAAAGAGAACCAGAUUAGAGAUAUACGACUUUUGUAGACUUAUCCAUUAGAGGUACCUGUGACUUUACUAUUAGCUGAUCAUGUUUUCAUAGAUUGUAAUUAUUCUUCCUUAUUUAUAUUUCAUGGCACCUGGUGAGAGAUUAAGGUGACUUAAAUUGAAAUUAAAACAUAGCAACAAACUUUAACUAACUCAAAUCUAUAGUGGUUGGUUUUAGAUCUAUGAGCAAGGAAAUGAAAUUGUUGGAGAUGUGAAGAUUACCUGAUACACAAAGAAGUAAAGCUCAUCACCAGAGACAUAGAAGUUGGUUCAUUGGAGAAGGAAAACCUUGCUUCUAUUUUGGAUCUUGUUUGUUGCUGACUAUCUUCUUCUUUGUCUCUUAAGUUUUCUUUUUUGUUUUUU
rnacentral:lncRNA from 1 species